AGAUGGCGACCGGCGCACGGGUGAGUAACACGUAUCCAACCUGCCGAUAACUCGGGGAUAGCCUUUCGAAAGGAAGAUUAAUACCCGAUGGCAUAAUUAGACCGCAUGGUCUUAUUAUUAAAGAAUUUCGGUUAUCGAUGGGGAUGCGUUCCAUUAGGCAGUUGGUGAGGUAACGGCUCACCAAACCUUCGAUGGAUAGGGGUUCUGAGAGGAAGGUCCCCCACAUUGGAACUGAGACACGGUCCAA
rnacentral:rRNA from 1 species